rnacentral:misc_RNA from 1 species
CAACCAUCAAGCCCCCGGGCUUGUGUUGGGGACCUGCGGCUGCCGCAGACCCCGAAAACCAGUGGCGGGCUCGCUGUCACCCCGAGCGUAGUAGUUUACACCUCGCCCAGGGCGCGACGCGGGUUCCCGGCCGUUAAACCCCCACCAUCUCA